AUGGAAUCACCAAAUUCAUCAUUUCGCCACAUUUUCUUUCAUUUUCGUUUCGGAUAGGAAAACAUUUUCCUGGGGAAAAGGAAAACAGAACUUUUUCCUCCAAAAAUAUCCUCUGAUCCUGAAGAUAAAGCUCCGUCUUCUCUUCUCCCAAAUCAGUGCAACCUCUACCUAAUCCGCAGCAACCGCCACACUGCGCGGCGGCGUUUAUGAUGGAUUUGGAUCUUGAUCUCGAAUCUUCCUGGUCGAUGGACCAGAUCUUUGCAAAUCCUAUGUCGCCGUUUCUGCUUUCGAAUUCGGAUCAGCCGUGUUCGCCUAUAUGGGCUUAUACAGAUGAGAAUAACGAUUGUAAAUCGACUGGAAAUUACGUCGCCGGGGGAGGUUUCCGCCUCUCCAACUGCUCCAGGCCUAUGUCAUGUAUGACUCUGCUUGCUCUGAGCUUGUUAUUUGACUUUUUUUUUAGGCGUGUGUUGAAUUGUUAGUGAUUAAAUCAAAAACCUGUUUUGUACUCUAUGCACUUUAUUUUGGGUUUUUUUGAUUAAAAAAGUUGGAAAGUUUUGAGAUUCUAUAGUUUCUACCACUGAGAUUUUUUUGGGUGAUUUUGACUUUCUUCUUCUUUUAUGAACAUGUAAACUAGCCCUUAUUUUUGGUUGAGUUUAGCUUUAUAUAUACAUAUGAAAACGUUCGUUAUUGGAAGGAGCUUUAUAUGGAUGUCCAGAUACAGUAUAGAAAUGACGAAGAAGAAUUCAUAUCAAAGCAGCUGAUAUAACUUUACUUAAGAGUUAUGCUUUUAAAUAAGUGUCAACUCAAAUCCUAACUUUUGGGAUAUAGAAAGGAUGGAAAAUCAAGGUAGAUGUAAUGAUUAUAUUUGUCGUCUGCUAUUUUUAAAUGCCAAACUAUCUAAAAUUUGAAAAGUUAGUUUGUUUUCUGUUGUUCUAUGAUUUUCUUGAAGUACUACUUGCAAUCAAUGGUACAUUUUACCAGAAGUAUCAGCAGGAAACUCAUUUUAUUUGCUUUUGUUUCGUGAAUUUUGAGCAGAUGCGGUUGAUCCUGAGUCAAUGACUGAAAAUGCAGUGGAAAAUGAUGAUAAAGAAAAACUGCCUUCACAACUUCUGGGAUUGAGAUCAAUUGCUAAUCCAGAUGAGUCUUAUAUAAUCAAGGAGCGGAUGUCACAGGCUCUUCGAUACUUUAAAGAUUUGACUGGAGAGCAUGUCUUGGCUCAAGUUUGGGCACCAGUUAAGAAUGGUGGUCGGUAUGUGCUGACUACUUCGGGGCAGCCCUUUGUUCUUGACCCUAACAGUAAUGGACUUCAUCAGUAUAGGCUAGUCUCUCUGAUGUAUAUGUUUUCUGUGGAUGGAGUGACUGAGGGAGCCCUUGGACUUCCUGGUCGUGUAUUUCGGCAAAAGUUACCUGAAUGGACACCUAACGUGCAGUACUAUUCUAGCAAGGAAUUUCCACGGCUGGACCAUGCUCUGAAUUAUAACGUUCGCGGAACUUUGGCUUUGCCUGUAUUUGAACCUUCUGGACAGUCCUGUGUUGGUGUACUUGAGCUCAUAAUGACUUCCCAGAAAAUUAAUUAUGCUCCUGAGGUUGAUAAAGUAUGCAAAGCACUUGAGGUUGGUUAAGCAUUCUCUUCAUAAUACAUCAUUAUUUCAAGAUCUUGCAUUUUUUGGUAGGAACUGUUAAAGAUUCCUUGAUAAAAAUUGCAGCAAGGAUUAGUGACUGUCUGAUUGUAGCAAUCAUAAUAACUGCGUUCUUUUAUGUGUGAGAAGCUUCUAAAAUUUUUAUCCCUAGGAAUUAUUUCCAGAAUUGGAUAUAGGAGAAUGGCACUUCUUUCUGAAAUAUGGCCUCUAGCAG
rnacentral:lncRNA from 1 species